UACAGAGGGUGCGAGCGUUGUUCGGAAUUACUGGGCGUAAAGCGCGCGCAGGCGGCCCUUUAAGUCUACCCGUGAAAUGCCGGAGCUCAACUCCGUGCACGCCGGGGGAUACUGGAGGGCUGGAGACAGGUAGAGGCAGGCGGAAUUCCGGGUGUAGCGGUGGAAUGCGUAGAGAUCCGGAAGAACACCAGAGGCGAAGGCGGCCUGCUGGGCCUUGUCUGACGCUGAGGCGCGAAAGCGUGGGGAGCGAACAGG
rnacentral:rRNA from 2 species